CAAAAUCCCAUUGAUAAGCUCACUGGUGAUUUUAUCCAAGUAUUCGUAAUUUCCUGCCUGUUUUAACCUCUUAAGAGUGUGGAUUCCUGCAGUCAUUGCUAAUGGGUUACCGCUAAGUGUCCCAGCUUGGUACAUUGGUCCGGCUGGUGCAACCAUCUCCAUAAUCUCCCUCCUUCCACCAUAUGCCCCAACAGGCAGCCCACCCCCAAUAAUCUUCCCCAGGGUUGUUAAGUCAGGAGUGAUCCCAAAGUAUUCUUGAGCACCACCAUAAGACAACCGAAACCCAGUCAUGACUUCAUCAAAAAUUAGAAGAGUAUCAUUUUCUUUUGUGAUCUUGCGGAGGGCAUUCAAGAAAUCAACUGUAGGGGUGAUGAAACCGGAGUUUCCUACCACAGGCUCAAGGAUGAUUGCAGCUAUUUCCCCUUUGUGCUCCUCAAACAGACUUAUGACAGUUUGAAUGUCAUUGUAUGGAGAUGUUAGUGUAUCAUAGGUAGCUGCCUUUGGGACACCAGGAGAGUCCGGGAGUCCUAGAGUAGCAACACCGCUUCCAGCCUUAACUAAGAAUGGAUCUGCAUGACCAUGGUAACAACCCUCAAACUUGAUGAUUUUCUGUCUGCCAGUGAAUGCACGAGCCAGACGAAGUACUCCCAUACAUGCUUCUGUGCCAGAGUUGACAAAUCUCACCAUUUCUAUACUUGGUACAGCUGAGAUGACCAUCUCAGCC
rnacentral:lncRNA from 1 species